GGAGGGUUGCGCCGAAUUGGUAAGGCACUUGUCUUGAAAACAAGCGGGUUUACGCCCAUGUGGGUUCGAGUCCCAUGCCCUCCGCCA
rnacentral:tRNA from 1 species